rnacentral:rRNA from 1 species
CAGCCGCCGCGGUAAUACGUAGGGUGCAAGCGUUAAUCAGAAUUACUGGGCGUAAAGCGUGCGCAGGCGGUUUGUUAAGACGGAUGUGAAAUCCCCGGGCUCAACCUGGGAACUGCAUUCGUGACUGGCAAGCUAGAGUAUGGCAGAGGGGGGUGGAAUUCCACGUGUAGCAGUGAAAUGCGUAGAGAUGUGGAGGAACACCGAUGGCGAAGGCAGCCCCCUGGGCCAAUACUGACGCUCAUGCACGAAAGCGUGGGGAGCAAACAGGAUUAGAUACCCGAGUAGUCCCUGUCUCUUAUAC